rnacentral:rRNA from 1 species
GACGAACGCUGGCGGCGUGCUUAACACAUGCAAGUCGAACGGAAAGCCCCCUUCGGGGGGACUCGAGUGGCGAACGGGUGAGUAACACGUGGGUGAUCUGCCCUGCACUUUGGGAUAAGCCUGGGAAACUGGGUCUAAUACCGGAUAGGACUACGAAUCGCAUGGUUUGUGGUGGAAAGCUUUUGCGGUGUGGGAUGGGCCCGCGGCCUAUCAGCUUGUUGGUGGGGUGAUGGCCUACCAAGGCGACGACGGGUAGCCGGCCUGAGAGGGUGUCCGGCCACACUGGGACUGAGAUACGGCCCAGACUCCUACGGGAGGCAGCAGUGGGGAAUAUUGCACAAUGGGCGCAAGCCUGAUGCAGCGACGCCGCGUGAGGGAUGACGGCCUUCGGGUUGUAAACCUCUUUCAGUAUCGACGAAGCGCAAGUGACGGUAGGUACAGAAGAAGCACCGGCCAACUACGUGC